rnacentral:misc_RNA from 1 species
GAUGAAGAACGUAGUGAAAUGCGAUAAGUAAUGUGAAUUGCAGAAUUCAGUGAAUCAUCGAAUCUUUGAACGCACAUUGCGCCCGCCAGUAUUCUGGCGGGCAUGCCUGUUCGAGCGUCAUUACAACCCUCAGGCCCCGGGCCUGGCGUUGGGGAUCGGCGGAAGCCCCCUGCGGGCACAACGCCGUCCCCCAAAUACAGUGGCGGUCCCGCCGCAGCUUCCAUUGCGUAGUAGCUAACACCUCGCAACUGGAGAGCGGCGCGGCCACGCCGUAAAACACCCAACUUCUGAAUGUUGACCUCGAAUCAGGUAGGAAUACCCGCUGAACUUAAGCAUAUCAAUAAGCGGAGGA